AGUGAACGCUGGCGGUAGGCCUAACACAUGCAAGUCGAACGGCAGCACAGUAAGAGCUUGCUCUUACGGGUGGCGAGUGGCGGACGGGUGAGGAAUACAUCGGAAUCUACUUUUUCGUGGGGGUUAACGUAGGGAAACUUACGCUAAUACCGCAUACGACCUACGGGUGAAAGCAGGGGAUCUUCGCACCUUGCGCGAUUGAAUGAGCCGAUGUCGGAUUAGCUAGUUGGCGGGGUAAAGGCCCACCAAGGCGACGAUCCGUAGCUGGUCUGAGAGGAUGAUCGGCCACACUGGAACUGAGACACGGUCCAGACUCCUACGGGAGGCAGCAGUGGGGAAUAUUGGACAAUGGGCGCAAGCCUGAUCCAGCCAUACCGCGUGGGUGAAGAAGGCCUUCGGGUUGUAAAGCCCUUUUGUUGGGAAAGAAAAGCAGCAGGUUAAUACCCCGCUGUUCUGACGGUACCCAAAGAAUAAGCACCGGCUAACUUCGUG
rnacentral:rRNA from 1 species